GACCCAGUGGCGAAGUGGUACCGCGUCUGCUUAACUUAAGCUCGGAGUGUGAACAAUGUUUCCGCGGAAGACACCCGUUCGAUUCGGGUCUGGGUCA